ACACUUAAAAGUAGAGAGAGGAAAAUUACAGCUUUGGACCUUUACAUAUACCUUUCUUACUUCAUCGAUAGCAGCUUUUCUUUAAAAGUUAUGAGAGCAAAAUAUUUUGAAUAAAAUCUGUUUCUUCUCCUAUGAACAGAGAUGACAUCCUGAAACAUUUAUCUCCUGCCUUCUGGAAGCAAUGCAAAGAAAUUCUUUUGAAUAUUUUUCCUAUCAGGAGGACUCAUUCAACAGGAUUGAAAGCUUUCCACUACCAAGAGUCCAAACCAUUGAGUAGAGCACACCUUCAUGUACAAACAUCCAUGACAGCCUGGAGGGGCAAGUAGAGGUGCAAGCCUGUGAAGCUUUCCUGCCAUAGCAGAGCAACAACAUUGUACUCUUCUGCUGAAUUUCUUCCUGCAAGCCAGUUGUUAAAAGAACAGAAGCCCCAAAAGAUUAUACUGCUGUGCUGGUGUAUAACAACUGAAGAGCACAUAUUUAUGAGAUGGAAGAAAAAGGAUCCUUCAGGCAAGAAAGGAUGAGAAUAUUUCUGAGGAGAAGAGCAUAUUUUGGAAGCCACCUUUUUUUGUGGGAGUAUGGCAGUGGUGGGUUGCCCCCAGUUUGGACUGGUUCUCAAGAACCGGUAGUAAAACCGGUGGGAGGAUCUGCCCACUGCCCCGGAUGUCAUCAUCAGUGUUCUGCGCAUGCGCAGAAGCAAGGCACACAAUCCUGUU